rnacentral:rRNA from 1 species
GACGAACGCUGGCGGCGUGCUUAACACAUGCAAGUCGAGCGGUAAGGCCCUUUCGGGGGUACACGAGCGGCGAACGGGUGAGUAACACGUGGGUGACCUGCCUCUAGCUCUGGGAUAAGCCCGGGAAACUGGGUCUAAUACUGGAUAUGACCCCAUGACGCAUGUUGUGGGGUGGAAAGCCUUGUGCGGCUGAGGAUGGGCCCGCGGCCUAUCAGCUUGUUGGUGGGGUGAUGGCCUACCAAGGCGACGACGGGUAGCCGGCCUGAGAGGGCGACCGGCCACACUGGGACUGAGACACGGCCCAGACUCCUACGGGAGGCAGCAGUGGGGAAUCUUGCGCAAUGGGCGAAAGCCUGACGCAGCGACGCCGCGUGAGGGAUGACGGCCU